rnacentral:lncRNA from 1 species
GAUGGAAGGAAGGAAGGAAAGAAGGAUGGAAGGAAGGGAGAAACAGAGGAAUGAAGGCAGGAAAGGAGAAGGAAAUAAAGGUGCACGUGUUGCAGAUCCCAGGCUGUCACCCAUUGCACACUUUCCACCUGUUUUUUCCACAAAAUAAGCACCUAGUUUGUGAGAGGUUGUGCCAAGCAUCUAGUCUGUGCCAAGUGGCCAGAGAGAAAAAAUAUGUAAACAAAGGGUAAGCAUACAAAGCUCAGACCUGGGCAGUAUUAGUUCUAUCCAAGGGUGAAGGAGACAAGCUCUCAGAAAGAUUUAAAGGGGAGAGAAAGGGUCAUGAGGGCUGGAGGGAUGGGGAUUCUCUGAGAUCUGAAUUCACCUUGCACUUCUUUUUCUUUUUGAGAAACAGACCACAGCAAGGUAAUCUUACAGCCCAGGACUCAGCUGCUGCAAUCUCUGUGAAAGGUUCUGCUCAUGAAACAGAGACAACCAUGUGUGGUGCCUGCAUUCUUGGCCUGCGGGGAGUGGAAAGGAGACAAAGAGUAAAACACGGUGGGAAAGAAGAAAAAGAGGUUAAGAAAAGCAAAUGUGCCUACUCCAGGUAAUUUUGACUUAGGGACCCUGAUUAACUUACACACUAAUUAAACCAUUUCCAGAUUUUGUGCAGUCUGAAAGCAGCCCAUUUUCCCCAACACCAGGUCGCUCAAGAUGACCACAGGAAGGUUGUCAUCUUCAUGUCUAAAAGCCAGUUGACACUCAAGGGUGUCAUUUCACUUCAGUGAAAUGAGAAGCUUCACAGAUGUGUAGACUCUGAAAAAUCUAACUGGAAAACAAUACAGGGAAAUAGCAAUACUAGGCAUCAAAGCAGCAAAAAAACUACUCAAUUAUCUGAUAUGGGGAUUAUCAAUGGAAUAAAUGUGGGGUUUGUUGUUUGUUGUUGGGAUUGUUGUGGGUUUUGUUUCAUUUUUUAGGGUCUCACUUUUCUCCACCAAUUAGAUCUGUGCUGUGAGCCACACAGGUUUUGAGUACAUGUUUUGGGACUUUAUAUCGGUCAGACUUUGCCAUGGUAACACUGUGUAACGAGCAGCCCCAAAAAUCUCAGUGGUGGUCAAAAGCAAACCUUUAUUUCUCAUUCAUGGGUUUUCAGUUUGUUCAGGCUAAAAGUAAAAUACACAGAUUCUUCACCUGUCUUUCAUUCCAUGCUGAAGGAGCAAUUGACUGCCUGGGACAUACUUUUCUCAUAACAGAGGCAAGGGUGAAAAACACCAAGUCAUCUUGAUUAUGCAAUCCCAUUUUUAAUGUAAACAAUGUCAUGUCUGCUUCUAUUUCAUUGAGCAAAGCAAGUCAUAUAGGCAAGCCCAACAUCAGUGGGGUGAUAAAGCACACUCUCCAAUGGAAGGAGGAGGGGAGCAUGAUCAUUUGCUGAACAGUAAUGCAAGAUAGCACAAGACUUGUCUGGGGUGAGAGAGAGAUCAAAGCUGUGG